CACGUAGGCGGAUUUGCCAGUCAGGGGUGAAAUCCCGGGGCUCAACCUCGGAACUGCCUUUGAUACAGCAAGUCUUGAGUUCGAGAGAGGUGGGUGGAAUUCCUAGUGUAGAGGUGAAAUUCGUAGAUAUUAGGAAGAACACCGGUGGCGAAGGCGGCCCACUGGCUCGACACUGACGCUGAGGUGCGAAAGCGUGGGGAGCAAACAG
rnacentral:rRNA from 1 species